rnacentral:misc_RNA from 1 species
UACGUAGGUGGCAAGCGUUGGCCGGAAUUAUUGGGCGUAAAGCGCUCUCAGGCGGUCUCUUAAGUCUGAUGUGAAAGCCGCUGGCUCAACCAGGGAGGGUCAUUGGAAACUGGGAGACUUGAGUGCAGAAGAGAAAAGCGGAAUUCCACGUGUAGCGGUGAAAUGCGUAGAUAUGUGGAGGAACACCAGUGGCGAAGGCGGCUCUCUGGUCUGUAACUGACGCUGAGGCGCGAAAGCGUGGGGAGCGAACAGG